GAGGAGUCACUCUUACCCACUGAGUCAUCUCCCUAGCCUCUCCUUCAUGGUGGAAAGAUUCCACAUCUUCCUUAUCUUCUCUGUUUACACAUAGGCUGGUACCCAGCUUAGCUGUUGACAAAGGAAAAUGGGUGUGCACUUUGUGAUUUGUUGAGUUGAAUUAUUGGGGUAAUCCUUGGAAGUGGUACAGCUGAGCCAUUUAGCAAGUCUUUUAAAUUUGUGGGGGAAUCUCUACAUUGAUUUUCACAGCAGACUUAUAUUCCAACAGUGGAUAAAGGCUCUUUUCAGUCCACAUCCUCAUGAGCAUUAGUUAUUUGUGUUUUGUUUUGUUUUUUGAAUUCAGAACAUUUAAUUUAUGACCAGUUGAAAUCCUCAAGAUGAAUUGGAUGCUGCAGCAGCUGCCCUCUUGGAUUUAGGCAUUAUUCUUUCACGGGAUCCAUGUCUGAACCUGCAGUAGACAAUCCGACCAGUGCCAGUAGUGUUCUGUCUCUAAGCCUCAGCACUCCAGUUACACCUUCUCUUGCACUUGGCAGGGUGGCCACAUUUGCCACUGGUCACCUUUCUGAAGGAGGUAGGCCUUAGAGCCAUAGCAGAGGCUUAAUGUAUCCGUCUUACUGUGAUGCUUCCAAAGAAUGACCUUCCUUUUGCCAUCUUGCUUUUACUACCAAAGCCAAAGAGCUUUAAGCCAAAGAGCGUUAUUUGUUUUCAUAAUGGCUGUGAAGACAUCUAAUAGAAAGAAGCUGGCCGGGGAGAACUGCGUUCUGGAAAUCCAGGCCUCCCUCCCUGAGACAGGGCAUGGACGGGGACCCACGAGGGUGCACCACAUCCCUUCUUGCUCCGCUUGUGUACCAGCAGCCUCUGUGCUCUUUCCUGUUUGCAAAACUGACAAGUCUCAGGCAGACCUUUUGGAAAACACCAAAAAACACAAAGAAAAUACAAGGUGUUACUGCUAGAACUGGGCAUGCUCUUUUAACAGCUUCACUGUGGAAAGACUUCUCUGUCUCAUAUUUGUUUAAAAAUUGUAUUUUACAUUAUUUAUAUAAAUAAAGACUACAUAUAAGUAAA
rnacentral:lncRNA from 1 species